GCGGGUAUCGCACAACGGCUAGUGUAUCUGCCUUCCAAGCAGAGGAUGUGGGUUCGAUUCCCGCUACCCGCACCA
rnacentral:tRNA from 1 species